AAUCAACGCUGGCGGCGUGCCUCAGACAUGCAAGUCGAACGAUUAAAGCUCUCUUCGGAGAGUGUAUAGAGUGGCGCACGGGUGAGUAACACGUAAGUAAUCUACCUUUGAGUGGGAAUAACAGUCGGAAACGACUGCUAAUACCGCAUAAUGCAGCGGCACCGCAAGGUGACAGUUGUUAAAGGAGCAAUUCGCUUAAAGAGGAGCUUGCGGCAGA
rnacentral:rRNA from 1 species